rnacentral:rRNA from 1 species
UACGUAGGGCGCGAGCGUUGUCCGGAAUUAUUGGGCGUAAAGAGCUCGUAGGCGGCCGGUUGCGUCUGCUGUGAAAUCCCGGGGCUUAACCCCGGGCGUGCAGUGGAUACGGGCCGGCUGGAGGCAGGCAGGGGAGAAUGGAAUUCCCGGUGUAGCGGUGAAAUGCGCAGAUAUCGGGAGGAACACCAGUGGCGAAGGCGACUUCCUGGCCUGUUCUUGACGCUGAGGCGCGAAAGCUAGGGGAGCAAACGGG